AUGGACAUUUCGGGGGCACCAUUCUGUCAACCACAACAGGUUUGUGAUUCCUUUUGAGUUGAUUUUUACACGUGGUGUGAGAAACAAGAUUAAUGUUGGAUGGAAUUGAGACAACAGGCAUGAACAUGAGAGCAGGAAUUUUCUGAAAGGCGAGAGAGUUAUGCCUUUAGUACGUAUC